rnacentral:lncRNA from 1 species
UGCGGCCGCCGCGUCGGGAUUUGAUUCCGCGACCUCGCGCUUAGCAGAGCAACAGCAUAGCCGCUAAGGCACCGCUGUGAGUGAUAUAGCCGGAAA